GUUCCCGGCAUGCCCCGGGGCGGCGGGGUUGGCUCUAACGAAUUUGAAUGAGGAGCCUUAGCGCUUUCGGCGCCAUUUUCGAGUGAUGCCUGAUCUCAUCCGUCUAGCGGGAGAGACGGAUAACCUGUCCGAGAGUUUAACGCCAAAAGGACCCCGCCGAAAAAUCACUAAAAAAUCGCCAAAAAUUAGUUGGAGCAAAGGGCAGUCCGUGGAGCUUCGCCAGGGUUGGCGCAGUCGUCUUUGAAACUUGCCGCAAAUGGGGAAAAACCUGAAAUGUAUUGAUGUUUUCCUCCCGAAAACUCUUUUGCCGGACAACUUAACGGUAAUUUUGCAAUCUCCACCUUUUCUUGGGAACUCUUGACGCUGAGGCGGAGGGAAGAGGUUUUGACCUUUAGGAGAGAGCUAGUCCCGGAGAACAACCUAACUUCUUUGAUUCAAUACUCACAUAAUGUGCUGGAACAUGAUAAGAGAUUAAGAUUUGGAGAGUCCAUCCCAAAAUUCAUGUAGAUUCUUUAGGGACAUCAAAUAAUCAAUCUUGAAAAAAAUGAAAAUUGGAGGUCUUAUGCUACCUGAUUUCAAAACUUUCUACAAAGCCAUGGUAAUCAAAACAGAAUGGUACUAGCAUAAAAGAGACAUUGAAAUAGACUUGAAGGCCUAGAAAUAAACCCUUACAUAUAUGCCAAAAGCUUUUCAGCAAAGAUGUCAAAGGUCCACAUUCAAUGGAGAAAGCAGUCUUUUCAACAAAUGGCAUAUGAGAAUACUGGAUUUCCACACAGAGAAGGAUGAAGUUGGAUCAUUAUCUGAAAUGAUAUACAGAAAUUAAAAUGGAACAAAGACCUAAACGUAGGCAUAAAGCUAUGAAACUUAGAAGAAAACAUAGGGAAAAAGCUUCAAGACAUUGGAUCUGGCAACAGUUUCUUCAGUAUGACACCAAAUCACAGGCAACAACAACAAUAUAGAAAAAUUGAACUGUAUCAAAAUUUGAAGCAUUUGCACAUUUAAAAGACACUACCAUAAAAGUGAAAAUGCAGUCCACUGAAUGAGAAAAAUAUCUGCAAAUCAUGUACCUAAUAAGGGGCUAGUAGUCAGAAUAUAUGAAAAGCUCAACAUAGAAACAACCCAUCCAAAAAUAGACAAAGGGUGCCAGCUGGUGCUGUAGUGGUUAAGAUGGCUGGAUCCCAAAUGGCUGACUGCAUGACUAGAAUCCCAAACCUACCAGCUUGGAAAACACUGGACAUGGGGCAUGGCAGGUGGCAUUCUGACUAAGGCACUGGAUUCUCCCACAUGGCCAACCAUGAUUGAUCCCAGACCUGGUGAUUUGCUUUCUUGCUCUCCCUCUCUCUGUUUGUCUAUCUCUCUCUAGUUAAU